rnacentral:rRNA from 1 species
AGCAGCCGCGGUAAUUCCAGCUCCAAUAGCGUAUAUUAAAGUUGUUGCAGUUAAAAAGCUCGUAGUUGAAUUUCGAGACCGGCUUACUGGUCGUGCUAUUGUACGUACUGGUAUAAUCGGUUUCUCCUUUCUGACAAACUAUAAUGCCAUUAAUUUGGUGUUUUAGGGAAUCAGGACUGUUACUUUGAAAAAAUUAGAGUGUUUAAAGCAGGCUCACGCUUGAAUACAUUAGCAUGGAAUAACGGAAUAGGACGUUUGAUUCUAUUUUGUUGGUUUCUAGGAUCGACGUAAUGAUUAAUAGGGAUAGUUGGGGGCAUUAGUAUUCAAUUGUCAGAGGUGAAAUUCUUGGAUUUAUUGAAGACUAACUACUGCGAAAGCAUUUGCCAAGGAUGUUUUCAUUAAUCAAGAACGAAAGUUAGGGGAUCGAAGACGAUCAGAUACCGUCGUAGUCUUAACCAUAAACUAUGCCGACUAGGGAUCGGAUGAUGUUAAUUUUUUAAUGUACUCAUUCGGCGCCUUA